AAAGAAAGCGUAAUAGCUCACUGGUCGAGUCGGCCUGCGCGGAAGAUGUAACGGGGCUAAACCAUGCACCGAAGCUGCGGCAGCGACGCUGAUGCGUUGUUGGGUAGGGGAGCGUUCUGUAAGCCUGCGAAGGUGGCCUGUGAGGGUUGCUGGAGGUAUCAGAAGGGCGAAUGCUGACAUAAGUAACGAUAAAGCGGGUGAAAAGCCCGCUCGCCGGAAGACCAA
rnacentral:rRNA from 1 species